rnacentral:rRNA from 1 species
GACGAACGCUGGCGGCGUGCUUAACACAUGCCAGUCGAACGGAAAGGCCCUGCUUUUGUGGGGUGCUCGAGUGGCGAACGGGUGAGUAACACGUGAGUAACCUGCCCUUGACUUUGGGAUAACUUCAGGAAACUGGGGCUAAUACCGGAUAGGAGCUCCUGCUGCAUGGUGGGGGUUGGAAAGUUUCGGCGGUUGGGGAUGGACGCGCGGCUUAUCAGCUUGUUGGUGGGGUAGUGGCUUACCAAGGCUUUGACGGGUAGCCGGCCUGAGAGGGUGACCGGCCACAUUGGGACUGAGAUACGGCCCAGACUCCUACGGGAGGCAGCGGUGGGGAAUAUUGCACAAUGGGCGGAAGCCUGAUGCAGCAACGCCGCGUGCGGGAUGCCGGCCUUCGGGUUGUAAACCGCUUUCGCCUGUGACGAAGCGGGAGUGACGGUAAUGGGUAAAGAAGCACCGGCUAACUACGUG